CGGGUUAGUGGCGGACGGGUGAGUAACGCGUGAGAAUCUGCCCUCAGGAGGGGGACAACAGCUGGAAACGGCUGCUAAUACCCCAUAUGCCGCGAGGUGAAAUGAAUUUCGCCUGAGGAUGAGCUCGCGUCUGAUUAGCUAGUUGGUGUAGGUAAUGGCUCACCAAGGCAUCGAUCAGUAGCUGGUCUGAGAGGAUGAUCAGCCACACUGGGACUGAGACACGGCCCAGACUCCUACGGGAGGCAGCAGUGGGGAAUUUUCCGCAAUGGGCGAAAGCCUGACGGAGCAAUGCCGCGUGAGGGAUGAAGGCCUCUGGGCUGUAAACCUCUUUUAUCAAGGAAGAAGAUCUGACGGUACUUGAUGAAUAAGCCACGGCUAAUUCCGUGCCAGCAGCCGCGGUAAUACGGGAGUGGCAAGCGUUAUCCGGAAUUAUUGGGCGUAAAGCGUCCGCAGGCGGCCCUUCAAGUCUGCUGUUAAAAAGUGGAGCUUAACUCCAUCAUGGCAGUGGAAACUGUUGGGCUUGAGUGUGGUAGGGGCAGAGGGAAUUCCCGGUGUAGCGG
rnacentral:rRNA from 1 species